rnacentral:rRNA from 1 species
UAAAGCGUGCGCAGGCGGUUUUGUAAGACUGUCGUGAAAUCCCCGGGCUCAACCUGGGAAUGGCGAUGGUGACUGCAAGGCUAGAGUUUGGCAGAGGGGGGUAGAAUUCCACGUGUAGCAGUGAAAUGCGUAGAUAUGUGGAGGAACACCGAUGGCGAAGGCAGCCCCCUGGGUCAAAACUGCGCUCAUGCACGAAAGCGUGGGGAGCAAACAGGAUUAGAUACCCCAGU